rnacentral:lncRNA from 1 species
GGGUAGGGGUCGAUUAAAUAUGUUUUUGGCUUACGUUCACAUAUUUUAGUAUAAGUAUAGAUUCAGGCAUGUAGUAAACACCCUUAGCAUUAUGUUGAGCUAUAAUAUAACCCAAUUGCAUGCCUGGGCGGUGCUGGGGAAGAUUUUCACUCUUAUGGAUAUUUGCCUUUAUGUUGGUUUUCUAGGCUUAUAUGAUGGUUUAUCGAGUUUUCCGUUGAAUGAAGCACCUAUUUAUGUUGGAAAACACAUCUCAAAGUUAGUCAAGGCCUUUAUGGUGAGAAUGAUGCCUUGUAUAGACCAAUGAUAUGCUCAGUUUGGUCCCUAGGGUGAAAAGAUCCGGGGUUGGUAUGGUCAAUAUUGGCGUCUGGCUAUCCAAAUUGGGGGUAAGGGUCGAUUAAAUAUUUUCUUGGCUUACGUUCACAUAUUUAAGUAUAAAUAUAGAUUCAGGCAUGUAGUAAACACCCUUAGCAUUAUGUUAAAGACCUUUACGGAGAAAAUGUCACCUUGUAUAGACCAAUGAUAUGCUCAGUUUGGUCCCUAGGGUGAAAAGAUCCGGGGUUGGUAUGGUCAAUAUUGGCGUCUGGCUAUCCAAAUUGGGGUAGGGGUCGAUUAAAUAUUUUUUUUGGCUUACGUUCACAUAUUUUAGUAUAAAUAAAGAUUCAGGCAUGUAGUUAACACCCUUAGCUUUAGUUUGAGCUAUAAUAUAACCCAAUGGCAUGCCUGGGCGGUGCUGGGGGAAGAUUUUCACUCUUAUGGAUAUUGCCUUUAUGUUGGUUUUCUAGGCUUUUAUGAUGGUUUAUCGUGUUUUCCGCUUAAUGAGGCACCUAUUUAUGUUGGAAAACACAUCUUAAAGUUAGCCAAAGCCUUUACGAUGAAAAUGACACCUUGUAUAGACCAAUGAUAUGCUCAGUUUGGUCCCUAGGGUGAAAAGAUCCGGGGUUGGUAUGGUCAAUAUUUGGCUCUGGCUAUCCAAAUUGGGGUAGGGGUCGAUUAAAUAUUGUUUUGGCUUACGUUCACAUAUUUUAGUAUAAAUAAAGAUUCAGGCAUGUAGUAAACACCCUAAGCAUUAGUUUGAGCUAUAAUUAACACCCAAUGGCAUGCCUGGGCGGUGCUGGGGGAAGAUUUUCACUCUUAUGGAUAUUUGCCUUUAUGUUGGUUUUCUAGGCUUUUAUGAUGGUUUAUCGUGUUUUCCGCUUAAUGAGGAACCUAUUUAUGUUGGAAAACACAUCUUAAAGUUAGCCAAGGCCUUUACGGUGAAAAUGACACCUUGUAUAGACCAAUGAUAUGCUCAGUUUGGUCCCUAGGGUGAAAAGAUCCGGGGUUGGUAUGGUCAAUAUUGGCGUCUGGCUAUCCAAAAUUGGGUAGGGGUCGAUUAAAUAUUUUUUGGCGCUCUGUUCACAUAUUUUAGUAUAAAUAGGAUUCAGGCAUGUAGUAGACACCCUUAGCAUUAGUUUGAGCUAAAUAAUAUACCCCAAUGGCAUGCCUGGGCGGUGCUGGGGAAGAUUUUCACUCUUAUGGGUAGUUGCCUUUAUGUUGGUUUUCUAGGCUUUUAUGAUGGUUUAUCGUGUUUUCCGCUUAAUGAGGCACCUAUUUAUGUUGGAAAAAACACAUCUUUAAAGUUAGCCAAGGCCUUUACGAUGAAAAUGACACCUUGUAUAGACCAAUGAUAUGCUCAGUUUGGUCCCUAGGGUGAAAAGAUCCGGGGUUGGUAUGGUCAAUAUUGGCGUCUGGCUAUCCAAAUUGGGGGUAGAGGUCGAUUAAAUAUUUUUUGGCUUACGUUCACAUAUUUUAGUAUAAAUAAAGAUUCAGGCAUGUAGUAAACACCCUAGCAUUAGUUUGAGCUAUAAUAUACCCAAUGGCAUGCCUGGGCGGUGCUGAGGGAAGAUUUUCACUCUUAUGGGUAGUUGCCUUUAUGUUGGUUUUCUAGGCUUUUUAUGAUGGUUUAUCGUGUUUUCCGCUUAAUGAGGCACCUAUUUAUGUUGGAAAACACAUCUUAAAGUUAGCCAAGGCCUUUACGAUGAAAAUGACACCUUGUAUAGACCAAUGAUAUGCUCAGUUUGGUCCCUAGGGUGAAAAGAUCCGGGGUUGGUAUGGUCAAUAUUGGCGUCUGGCUAUCCAAAUUGGCGGAAGGGUCGAUUAAAUAUUUUUUGGCUUACGUUCCACAUAUUUUUAGUAUAAGUAAAGAUUCAGGCAUGUAGUAAACACCCUUAACUUUAGUUUGAGCUAUAAUAUAACCCAAUGGCAUGCCUGGGCGGUGCUGGGGAAAGAUUUUCACUCUUAUGGAUAUUUGCCUUUAUGUUGGUUUUCUAGGCUUUUAUGAUUAUUUAUCGUGCUUUCCGCUUAAUGAAGAACCUAUUUAUGUUGGAAAACAACAUCUUAAAGUUAGCCAAGGCCUUUACGAUGAAAAUGACACCUUGUAUAGACCAAUGAUAUGCUCAGUUUGGUCCCUAGGGUGAAAAGAUCCGGGGGUUGGUAUGGUCAAUAUUGGCGUCUGGCUAUCCAAAUUGGGAAUGGGUCGAUCAAAUAUUUGUUUGGCUUACGUUCACAUAUUUUAGUAUAUUAUAAAGAUUCAGGCAUGUAGUAAACACCCUUAAGCAUUAGUUUGAGCUAUAAUAUCACCCAAUGGCAUGCCUGGUGGUGCUGGGAAAGAUUUUCACUCUUAUGGAUAUUUGCCUUUAUGUUGGUUUUCUAGGCUUUUAUGAUGGUUUAUCGUGUUUUCCGCUUAAUGAAGCAACCUAUUUAAUGUUGGAAAAACACAUCUUAAAGUUAGCCAAGGCCUUUACGAUGAAAAUGACACCUUGUAUAGACCAAUGAUAUGCUCAGUUUGGUCCCUAGGGUGAAAAGAUCCGGGGUUGGUAUGGUCAAUAUUGGCGUCUGGCUAUCCAAAUUGGGGUAGGGGUCGAUUAAAUAUUUUUUGGCUUACGUUCCACAUAUUUUAGUAUAAAUAAAGAUUCAGGCAUGUAGUAAACACCUUAGCAUUAGUUUGAGCUAUAAUAUAAACCCAAUGGCAUGCCUGGGCGGUGCUGGGGAAGAUUUUCACUCUUAUGGAUAUUUGCCUUUAUGUUGGUUUUCUAGGCUUUAUGAUGGUUUAUCGUGUUUUCCGCUUAAUGAGCACCUAUUUAUGUUGGAAAACACAUCUUAAAGUUAGCCAAGGCCUUUACGAUGAAAAUGACACCUUGUAUAGACCAAUGAUAUGCUCAGUUUGGUCCCUAGGGUGAAAAGAUCCGGGGUUGGUAUGGUCAAUAUUGGCGUCUGGCUAUCCAAAUUGGGGUAGGGGUCGAUUAAAUAUUUUUUGGCUUACGUUCACAUAUUUUAGUAUAAGUAAAGAUUCAGCAUGUAGUGAACACCCUUAGCAUUGUUUUGAGCUAUAAUAUAAACCCAAUGGCAUGCCUGGGCGGUGCUGGGGGAGAUUUUCACUCUUAUGGAUAUUUGCCUUUAUGUUGGUUUUCUAGGCUUUUAUGAUGGUUUAUCGUGUUUUCCGCUUAAUUAAGGAACCUAUUUAUGUUGGAAAACACAUCUUAAAGUUAGCCAAGGCCUUUACGGUGAAAAUGACACCUUGUAUAGACCAAUUGAUAUGCUCAGUUUUGGUCCCUAGGGUGAAAAGAUCCGGGUUGGUAUGGUCAAUAUUGGCGUCUGGCUAUCCAAAUUGGGGGUAGGGUCGAUUUAAAUAUUUUUUGGCUUACGUUCACAUAUUUUAGUAUAAAUAAAGAUUCAGGCAUGUAGUAAACACCUCUAAGCAUCUUUUGAGCUAUAAUAUACCCCAAUGGCAUGCCUGGGCGGUGCUGGGGGAGAUUUUCACUUUUAUGGAUAUUUGCCUUUAUGUUGGUUUUCUAGGCUUUUAUGAUGGUUUAUCGUGUUUUUCGCUUAAUGAUGCACCUAUUUAUGUUGGAAAACACAUCUUAAAGUUAGCCAAGGCCUUUACGAUGAAAAUGACACCUUGUAUAGACCAAUGAUAUGCUCAGUUUGGUCCCUAGGGUGAAAAGAUCCGGGUUGGUAUGGUCAAUAUUGGCGUCUGGCUAUCCAAAUUGGGGUAAGGGUCGAAUUAAAUAUUUUUUUGGCUUACGUUCACAUAUUUUAGUAUAAAUAAAGAUUCAGGCAUGUAGUAAACACCCUUAGCUUUAGUUUGAGCUAUAAUAUAACCCAAUGGCAUGCCUGGGCGGUGCUGGGGAAGAUUUUCACUCUUAUGGAUAUUUGCCUUUAUGUUGGUUUUCUAGGCUUUUAUGAUGGUUUAU